GACGUAGGGCGCGAGCGUUGUCCGGAUUUAUUGGGCGUAAAGAGCUCGUAGGCGGCUUGUCGCGUCGACUGUGAAAUCCCGCGGCUCAACCGCGGGUCUGCAGUCGAUACGGGCAGGCUAGAGUUCGGCAGGGGAGACUGGAAUUCCUGGUGUAGCGGUGAAAUGCGCAGAUAUCAGGAGGAACACCGGUGGCGAAGGCGGGUCUCUGGGCUGACACUGACGCUCAUGCACGAAAGCGUGGGGAGCAAACAGG
rnacentral:rRNA from 1 species